rnacentral:rRNA from 1 species
UACGUAGGGUGCAAGCGUUGUCCGGAUUUAUUGGGCGUAAAGAGCUUGUAGGCGGCUCGUCGCGUCGGGUGUGAAAACUUGCGGCUUAACCGCAAGCCUGCACCCGAUACGGGCGGGCUAGAGUUCGGCAGGGGAGACUGGAAUUCCUGGUGUAGCGGUGGAAUGCGCAGAUAUCAGGAGGAACACCGGUGGCGAAGGCGGGUCUCUGGGCCGAUACUGACGCUGAGACGCGAAAGCGUGGGGAGCGAACAGG